CCUCCGCCACAAUCAAGUCUCCGUGGCGCAAUUGGUUAGCGCGUCUGACUGUUAAUCAGGAGGUUGGAAGUUCGAGCCUUCCCGGGGACGC
rnacentral:tRNA from 1 species